rnacentral:rRNA from 1 species
UUACCGGCUUGACNUGAAANAGAUUCCNCANGGCACAGGUGCUGCAUGGCUGUCGUCANCUCGUGUCGUGANAUGUUGGGUUAAGUCCCGCAACNAGCGCAACCCUGCCUUANUUGCCANCGUACGGGACUCUAGGGGACUGCCGGUGACAACCGGAGGAAGGUGGGGAUGACGUCAAGUCAUCAUGGCCUUUAUGCCGGGCUACACACGUACUACAAUGGCAUACAAGGGGCACCGCGAGGGGAGCAAUCCCAAAAUGAUCUCAGUCCGGAUUGGAGUCUGCAACUCGACUCCAUGAAGUCGGAAUCGCUAGUAAUCGCAAUCAGCGUGUGCGGUGAAUACNUUCCCGGGCCUUGUACACACCGCCCGUCACACCAUGGGAGUUGGUGACCNAA